ensembl:lncRNA
GUCCAACUCCCCUGCGGUGAACAGGGACACCACAGCUAGAUCAGGUUGCCCAGGGCCUGAUCCAGCCUUGCAUUGAAAGCCUCCAGGGACAGGGCAUCAACCACAUCUCUGGGCAACCAGUUCCAGUGCCUCACCACCCUCACUAUAAAAGACUUUUUCCUUAUAUCUAAACUAAAUUUACCCUUUCUUUAAGCCUGAAGCCAUUUCCCCUCCCCUUUAGAUACUGAAAGGCUGCUAUCAAGUCACCUCGGAGCCUUCUCUUCUCCAGGCUGAACAGCCCCAGCUCUCUCAGCCCGUCCUCAUAGGAGAGGUGUUCCAUCUCUUGGAUCACUGUGUGGCCCUUCUCUGGAUGCUCUCCAACAGGUCCAUGUCUCUCCUGUACUGGGGACUCUACAUCUGGAUGCACUAUUCCAGGUCCCAUAUCCCAGUAACUCAAGUCUGCUCAGUUUCAUCUUAUUAAAAAAUUAGGGAAAAAAGAAAAGGCAGCAUGAAAAAGAUCUCCUUUUCUUGGGAAGCGGAGUACUUCCAGUGGAGGGAAGAUCCGUAAAGUAGGAUAGCUAUAACAGCAUCGGUGAGAUGGUUUUGGCAGAAGACAUAGUCUCAGCACCGUGUGCUUUUGAAAGCAGCUGCCCCGAUCUCUUGCUGCUUGUCAAGAUGAAAUGAAGGACUGGAAGCAGAGGAAAGAACAACUGAAAUGAAGAAAUGCUUUCACGUAAUUGCAGUUUGACCUUGUGCCAGUGGAGCUCACUCAUGAACUAGUGGAUUGUCUGAAAUGACUUCUCUGAAUCACUGGAAUCAUAUCUAAAACGGCAGCUUGAUUUUCUUCUUUGUGCUUUGCCUGUUGGCAGCUUUCCUUGGACUCUGCAGCUAAGCCUCAGUGCUGUGUCUGUGCGUGCGUGACAGUCCUGCUGCCAUCACUGAGGUGCCCAGGGUUGGUUGGGAUGGAUUCAGACUUUCUGUUACCAAAGAGCGCAGCAGAAAUAGGAUGAGGCAUGCUCCUGUGGCUGAUGCUACAGUGGGGUUUGUGUGAAGAGUGGCUGGGGCUCUCUGGUUUGUGGAGAAACUAGUUGGGAGCAAGGUGUAGAAAUACCAAUUGGAGGCACAGAAGGUCAUUUUGGUGUUCUUCGCUCAUUCUCCUAAUCCAAAAGCAGGGGAAAAACAGUGAAAAUGGAAGGUAAUAAAUAAAACAGUUGAGGAAGGUGUUAGCUCUGUUUACUGUCUGUCUGUGAGACUUCACUGAGGCUGGGAUCUUAGUGCAGACUAAAAUAACAGAUAACCAUACAGGUGUUGAAAGCCCUGGUUUCAGGGCAGACAAAGGUGGUAUAAAGUGG